rnacentral:rRNA from 1 species
UCGGACGAGAAAGCCGGGGCAACCCGGUGAGUACAGUGGCGUACGGGUGAGUAACACGUGGGUAAUCUACCCUUUAGUGGGGAAUAACGCUGGGAAACCGGCGCUAAUACCACAUAAACCCGAGAGGGGAAAGCAGCAAUGCGCUGAAGGAGGAGCCCGCGGCCGAUUAGCUGGUUGGUAGGGUAACGGCCUACCAAGGCUGAGAUCGGUAGCCGGCCUGAGAGGGCACACGGCCACACUGGCACUGAAACACGGGCCAGACUCCUACGGGAGGCAGCAGUGGGGAAUCUUGCACAAUGGGGGCAACCCUGAUGCAGCGACGCCGCGUGAGCGAUGAAGCCCUUCGGGGUGUAAAGCUCUUUCGGCAGGGAAGAUGGUGACGGUACCUGCAGAAGCAGCUGCGGCUAACUACGUGCCAGCAGCCGCGGUAAUACGUAGGCAGCGAGCGUUGUUCGGAGUUACUGGGCGUAAAGGGUGUGUAGGCGGCCUAUUAAGUUUGGUGUGAAAUCUCCCGGCUCAACCGGGAGGGUGCGCCGAAAACUGGGAGGCUAGAGUGCGGGAUGGGAGAGUGGAAUUCCUGGUGUAGCGGUGAAAUGCGUAGAUAUCAGGAGGAACACCGGUGGUGCAGACGGCUCUCUGGACCGUAACUGACGCUGAGACACGAAAGCGUGGGUAGCAAACAGGAUUAGAUACCCUGGUAGUCCACGCCCUAAACGAUGCAUAUUUGGUGUGGGUCAUUCAGUUGAUCCGUGCCGGAGCUAACGCGUUAAUAUGCCGCCUGGGGAGUACAGUCGCAAGGCUGA